rnacentral:tRNA from 1 species
AGAAGUUUAGGUUAACCAGACCAAGAGCCUUCAAAGCUCUAAGCAAGUAUAGUUCACUUAACUUCUG